GGGGGACCUGCAUCACAUUGAUGUUA
rnacentral:piRNA from 1 species